AAGUCGUAACAAGGUUUCCGUAGGUGAACCUGCGGAAGGAUCAUUAACAGAUUCUGCUAGCCAGAUAUCUUACCCCGUGUGAACUGUUUUACUGACUUGGUGUCCAAGCACUGGGUCCUUCGAGACUCGUCUUGUUGGACUUAUGUCUAGGCACCGCUUUUUAUUUUUUUACCCUUUGACUUUUUAUACAGAGAAUACUACAAAAGACUAGAAAACUUUUAGCAACGGAUCUCUAGGCUCUU
rnacentral:misc_RNA from 1 species